rnacentral:lncRNA from 1 species
UCACAUCGCCAACCACUCGCCCACACCCACUUGCCCCCUCUCCCCCUCUGGUUCUGCCUCCCUCCUCUAGAUCCUCCUUCUCCUGAGCGCAUCCAUGGCCAUUCCGCGGGAGUAGCUGCGACCACCAGCCUUUACUCAUCGCGCCAAUACAUCCAGGAGCUUCGCCGUUGUCGUCUCCUUCGACUACAUCCAUCAGUUCGAGCCGGGACUUCGUCAAGCUUCGGGAUCGAGCCUUCUCCCCGUCGGAAACCGUCGCCAUCUUGCCGCUGCCCCGCAAGCUCCAGUCCAACUCCCGCCUCCCCGACGUCGCCUACAUGCUCGCAGUAAGCACCUUGUUUGAUUCCCCCUGUUUGCCCUUCGAAUCCAUCACCGUAGAUGACUUCCCACGCUCGCCGUCGUUCACCAUGGUCGGAACUCACCCGUGCACACACGUUCACAUGCUUCUGAUGCUCGAGGCUGUGCUGCCAUUGCUAUUGCCCUGUUGCUGCUGCUCGUCCUUCGCGCCUGUCACCGCUACUGCGUUGUUGGUACUACGGCUUCCGCUGCUCCUUGCUAUGCUGCUUGUUGCGGCUGCUUCUCCCACCGCUGGUUGCCGCUGCUCCCGCGGCUAGGUGCCGUCGCUGUUGCGCCACUGCUACAUGUGCCAGCCCACUGCGCUGCACUCCCCCCUCGACCGAUGCGGUGGCCGCUGGCGCUUCCUGCACGCCGCCGGAGCACCCCGGCCGCUCCCGCCCGCGAGAGGAUGCCCCUCGUGCGCGCUGCUGCCUCCCAACUGCGAUCGUGCCUCCAGGCCAUCGUGGUUGCCGGUGCCUUGCUGCCUGGGUAAUCCCCCGCUCCCGGCGGUGCUCCUCGUUGCUGGCCGCCAGCGCCUUAAGCCCAACGCGCCUGUGCACAGAGCCAGAGGCCGGCUGGCUCUCUGUAUUAAGGGCCGGCCCUGUUAGAUUAGUUAGAGAUAGGUUAGAUGUUAAUUAGUGUAUUAGGAUUAGUCUAAUGUAUCACUGAUAGGUGGACCCACUGUUAGUUAAACAAAAAUUAUUGAUAUAAUAAAGCUAGAGGCAAUGAAAAGUGGGACCCAAACACUAUUCACCUUUUGAACAGUCAAAUGUUGACCUGGUCAACUCUGCUGACUGAACCACUCCUUGACCCCAUUGGUCAUACACUCAGGCUAGUGUAGAGCUAGGUGACAAAUGUAUAUUCUGUUUUUAAUUCAAAUUAAUAAUAAUGUUAAAAAGGGUUUAAAUCUUUAAAGAAUUAAUAGAAAAUAAUCCGUACCUCGGAUGAAAAAACUUUGUACAUGAAAAUUGCUCAGAACGACGAGACAAAUCCAAAUGCAUGGUCCAUUUACCAAUACGAUGCCUCUACCUAUUUGAACUUGGAACAUUCCCCCUCCGGUCAUCUGUCUGACACACGUCCGACACCGAGAAAAUUUUUCCGGAUGUUUUCCCCCUUCGCCAGUAUCGCCUAGCAUUGCGUUAGAACACCUCUAGCCCCGCUUAUUGUCAUGUUAUGCAUAUGUUUGCGUGUAUUUACUGUUACUUCCCCCUCUUCUCUCCGGUAGACCCUGAGACCGCUGCUGAUGCCACUGUUAUCGACUACGUCGAAGACGACCCUUCCAGUGGAGCUUCCAGGCAAGCCCCCUCUGAUCAUCCCGAUAUCGCCCAUUCCAUUCUCUCAUGUUUGCAUUAGAUUUUGAUACUGUAAUUGAUUGCUCCUAUUCUGAUGCAUAGCCUGCUUCUGUACCUGCUGUUGUAUCUUACCUGCUUAUCCUAAACUGCUUAGUAUAGGUUGGUUAGUGACCCAUCAUUGACCCCCACCUUUUCCUUGUUGCCCCUACUUCAUCAUCGAUGCCUCGAUCAACGUGACCGAUGACUAGAGCCCGACAUAUCACAUCACAUCACGCCCCUUUUGUUGCUUGAAUCUGCAGAGUUACCAUCGAGUGUCGAGGGUGAUACCUCACACAUCACUCCUGAUGAGAUCUCUGUAGUGUCGCUAUUAGGUCGUGGUCAUCGAGAGUGAUUCCUUGUUAACCACUUCCAAUACGACUCUGUCAUGCAACCCCUCAAGUGUGAACCUCGAGGGUGGUUCCUCUUACGUUCACCUUCAUGAAUACAUCGAGUGGAAUCCACCGAGGGUGAUUCAUCGGGUUUUCCCCUUGAUAUUUGGACACACGGUUACUUUGACUUUACUUGAGACCUUGGUGAAAGUCGGGUGGGCCCGGAGAGCACCCGCAAGAUAAUUACGUGGCAUGGUCGGGUAUUCCAUGCCCUUGUCGUAAGUCCACGAGACGGGGCGACAGGGUCACUUUCGAUCGUGGGUCUCUGCUCGUCUCCACGAGACGGGGUUUGGGUAUUUGUUCUGAGUUGGCAUUUGGCCUUUAUGCACUAACCACCACGCGAGAAUAGUUAUGGGCCUCAACGUCGCAGUAUCAGCCGAAGCUUUGUUAGACGUCCAGUUCGGCAUUGUGGUCGGGCCAGAUCGCACCAUCCAGGCAGAGGUGGUGCUAGUAUCCCCUUGCGCACAACAACCCGGAGUGCAAUGGGCGAUAGGCCCAGACCCCGGAGUGCUUAGGAUGUAGACCAGCGGGGACCUCUCUGUUGAGCCUAGGUAGGGUUGCGACGUGUUGAUCUUCUAAGGCCGGGCAUGACCCAAGAAAGUGUGUCCGGCCAGAGUAAUCAAGCGUGUUGGAAAAUGUAGUGCACCCCUGCAGGGAAGAUUAUCUAUUAAUAGUCGUGUCCACGAUAACGAACGUUAAGGCUUAUAUCCUGAUCUUAUACAACUACAAAUGAAUACUUGAGAUAUGUGGCUCCAGGAUUGCUUUCUCGCAGGGAGCAAAGUUUUAGAUAGCGCGCUAAGCCUCUUAGCGUCGGCCUGACCAAGAGCUAUGAAAUGCUAUAGCGCAGCUAUAGCGUGCUAAGCCCCAUUUAGCGUUUCAGUAUAAAUCAAUAAAAAAUGAAAAAAUAAACAUAGAAUCAGUCAUCAACUUGACAUAUAUAUACUUGAAAAUGGACAUAUAUCAACUACCAUACAGCCAAGUUAAUAGAAAAAUGAUAUUGUGUUAUGUAGUUCCUACCAUACUCAUGCAAACAGCCACAUAACAUAGUAUUAUGUAGUUCCUACCAUACAUAAUAAGGACAUAUAUCAGGAGAUGGUUCAAUUCAUUACAUAACAGAGCAAAGUUUGGCAUAGCAACUAGCAACAUACCACCAACACACUUUGAAUAACAAAAGUGGUACAUAAACAACAUGAGAUGGUCCGGUUUAUAAGUUCAGCCAACUAACUUGACAUAGCAACAUAACAACAUACCACCAGUACACUUUGAAACAACAAAAGUGGUACACCCAACCAUGCAAUUAAUCCGAGUCAGCAAGGGCCGAGGGAAACUCAUCUUCUGAUUCCGACGAAGAAGAAUUGGAAGAGGCAGAAAGUAUAGCUUCCUCAUCAACACUAUUAAGGAGAGAUUGCAAGCUCUUCUUCCUCUUCUUUCUAAGGGGCGCAGUAGGCCUCUUCUUCUUUUUCCCUUGUUCUUGUGAUGUUGAAGCUCUCUCUUGUUGAGUUUGAUCUUCAUCACCAACAUGUUCAACAACAUUAUCAUUUCCAACAAUGCCGGUGAUGAACUCGUUAUCCUCGUCCUCAAGAACAUCAACGAUUGUCUUCUCUAUUGGGUCUCUACUCUUGUUCUCUCUCUUAUGCUUCAUCCUAGAGUUGAACUUGAUAAAUACAAGAUCACUCAUCCUAUCAUGGAGUAGCCUGCUGUGUUUCUUUGUAUGAACCUGUGUAAGUGAACAAAAUCAAGUAUGGAACACAUGGCCUCAAUGUGAGAAGUGCAAGGAACUAUAUUUUGUACUUGUGAACCUUGUAAUUGUCUUUCUUACUUGUUCAAAUGCUGACCAAUUUCUCUCACAGGUUGAGGAGCUACAUGUCAAACUCAAAAUCUUCAUUGCCAUGUCCUUCAAUAGGGGUGCACAUGUGCCAUAAUUCAGCCACCAUUUUGCUGCAUUAAGACAUUGAAACAUUAUAUUAGUUAGGCAAUUACAAAGAGGGGAGACAGAGGAAGUGUUAUGACAUAACAUCACAAGAUUUCAGCAAACACUCACCUGGAGAAAAGUUUUUCCUUUUUCUCUGUCGUACAGCAAUGUCCAUUCCAAAGGAAUCUUCCUCCGCCUCAUAUUUGUCAAGUUCAUCAAUAAGCUCAUCUUGAGUUUUUUGAUUUUCAAUCAUCCUUGUGAUGCAAUGGACCACGGCUGCUCUAAAUGAUCCAUCCCUCUCUAUCACAACCUUGUUUGGAUAAUAAUAGUAGGGGUUCAGAAAGUACCCAGCCAAAUGUAAUGGCGACUUGAGUUUGCUGUCCCAUCUCUUGUCAAUGAUAUCAAUAACACAUUUGAAGCGACUCUUGUCAUUAUCAAAACUUGCAGCAAUUUCCUUUUUUGCAUCCAACAUACAACCAUAUAAGAAUCCCAUUGCGGGCACAUCACUAUCCAUUCUUCUUAGCACAUUAGCCAUUGGCUCAAAGUAGUUGACAGCAACGCCAACACCUUUCCAGAAGGCUUCCGAUUGCACCGUUUUGUGAGCCAUCUUCCCCUUGUCCUUCUCUAAGUAACCCAUUUCAUGUAGCUCAUCCAAUCUGAAUAGUUUAAGCAUUUCCUUCUUGUUGUCUUGCAAGCUUUUAGGAUUGAGAUAAGCCGUGGCAAACCUAGUAAUACCUGACCGUACCAAGUCUUUCCCAAGUGUGACAGUGUUAUGUGGGAUGCUAGCUUCAUAGAAAAAUUGACAUAUAUAUUUACAAGCUCUAUCCCUCCUCUGUUGUCUUUCCUGAGUUGACAACUUCGACUGAACCUUUUCGGAUUCACAAUUUCUUUUUUGCUUCCUCUUGACAGUUUCUUCUAUACUAGGCUUGCAGAAUUUGUCCAUAGGGCCACCCAUUGAGCUGCUUGUGCCUGGUUUUGACCUCAAAAUCACAACCUGAUUGCCAUCUUCUUCAUCAGUUCCUUGUUCUCUAUCGAAGUGAUCUAAGUCAACAAGAGAUCUGAGCACCUCCAAUCCCUUGAUCUUUUUUUCCUUCAGCUCAGCACUCUUUAGGAGCAAAGCUAUCAUCUCCAGCCUGACAUCACUAGGAACCUUCUUGCAUGGUAAGACACCACAAUUCGUUAUUUGUGAAAGGUGAAACUUUAUCCUUGUAAUGCCAGCUGUGCAUAUCUUGCCACAAAAGUUGCAUCGCUGCCAAUGCUUCUUGUUCACAUCUGGAAGAGUGCAAUACUUCCACGCAGGGUCAUCCGAAUCAACUUGAGGGAGUGCAGGUGCUGCUACUGAGGCAGUGCUUGAGCCACCAACACCUAUGCAGAUUAAGGCAAUCCAAAGUACGUGAUAGAAAAAUGUACAUUAGUAGCAAAUAAACUUUCAAUGUAUCUGUAUUCUGUAUAUAACUGAAAACUUCAGCAGAUUCAUUUUUAUUGCUAAUCUUGAGCAUUCAGCUAUUCACCAUUUUCCUAUAGUAGUACAAGCAUCCACAAUAAGAGAUAACAAAGGAUAGAUGAGCUUACCUGCUGACGGGAUUUGCUGGCUCAUGGUCGCCUGGUGGACACCGUCGCCGCGGGGUGCUCCGUCGCCUUGUGGAUGCGGUCGUCGCCGUCAGCAGAGGAAGUGGCCAGGAGGGAGCAGCCGAGAGGAAACGUCCGGGAGCUGCGUCGCCUGGUGGAAGGAAUACCCCGUCCCUGGGAGGGAGUGGCGAGGAAGGUCAGUCGCCGGAGUGGCAGCGCAAGGCCGUUGCCAUGGUUGGUCGUUGGUCGGCCGCCGCCAUGGUUCCUGUUUGAGAUGAGGACGGGAGUGGGGAUAGGGUUUCGCUCGAGAGGAGGGUUGGGGGCAUAGUAUUCGACUAUUGGUAGGCUUGGGCUUUGGCCCGCGUAGCGAUUUCAUUUUGGGCCGAAAAUUUUAGGACAGAGACGCGGGACGCUAACGCUAGAGGCCCAAUUUUCAGCGCUAAAUGACAUCUAGCGCGCUAUUAGCACGCUAACUCUUCGUACGUGAAAUCGAGCUUCGCGUAGCGCACCACAGUCAGGAUGCGUGUAGUGCCGCUAUAGCGCGCUAUCUAAAACUUUGGCAGGGAGUCGAGGAAGGAUCUCUGGGCGUUAACUUUACAACAUGUUUGAUAAAUAUAAACUGCUAUUCUUUACUCUUCUACAUGCUGCAAGAUGCUUGGAGCUGCUUGAAGAUGCUAGUCUUUGAUAGGGUAGGCCUUCCCCCUCUAUUCUGGCAUUUUGCAGUUCAGUCCACAGAUAAAAACCUUCCAUUUAAUACCAAUGCAUACGUAGUAUAGAUCUGAUGCUUGUGAGUACGUUGAUGAGUGCUCACGGUUGCUUUGCUACCCCUUUUUCCCCUUCUCUCUUCUUUUCGGUUGAUGCAACCAGAUGGUGGAUCCCUGGAACCAGAUGCCACCGCUGACGGAUACUACUACGUGGAGAAUGCCGACGACCAGGAGUAGUUAGGAGGUCCCAGGCAGGAGGCUUUGCCUCUUCGAUCGUGUUGCUUUUGUGCUAGCCUUCUUAAGGCAUCCUUAUUUAACUUGUGUCUGUUCUCAAAUAUUGUUGCUUCCGCUGACUCUUGUGGAUCGAGCUAUGUAUUCGAGCCCUCGAGGCCCCUAGCUUGUAAUAUAAAGCUUCUACUAUUUCAUUUUGUGUCUAGAGUUGUGUUGUGAUA